UGCUGGCCUUUAACUUUUGUGUUUUAAGUGUUUGGAUGGGUUAUCGACACUAAAACCUGAAAAUUCAGGUUUUGAGUGUUAAGUAUCGGUACUUGAGUGGGAUAUCGGUACUCCACAGGAUGGCCAGAUUGCGUAACUCUCGGGUUUGAGAGUUUGGUGCUGGGUACCAGUACUGCAUUGAGCUAGUACCGGUACACUGCAUAAAACCCAGCUGAGCAGAGCCCGGGUUUUUAGCUGUUUUCUUGCCAGGUACCAGUACCUCAACCAAAGUACCGGUACUCAAUGCGGCAGAAUGAGUUGGUAAGGAGUUUUUUGGUAAUUUUGGCUGUUGUGCUUAUCCUUAAAAGCCAAACCGACCCCUAGCUGGUUUCCCCUGUGCUUUAGCCUGGAUGAAAACAGGGUAAGGUUUCCUCUUUCUCUCUCUAAGAUUUCUUCCAAUUUUUGAGAAGAUGUUGAUGGAAUUAAUUUCCUUUCUUUUCUCCUCUUCAUGCUUGCUGGUUUGAGGGCUUUGGAGAAGCUGUGGAAGGAAGGAAGGAGAUGCUACAGAGAGAGAGUUUCCAAUCUUAGCUCAAGAGUGAGCUUGGCUUGGAGUUUUGGAAAGGUUGGAUUUGAGAUAGCCAACCUGAGGUGGGGAGUGGAUUAAGCUUGUUCUAGAUACAAGGUUGCUGGGAGGUUACCGGGCAUCUUCACCCGUGUGAUCGAAGGAGACGACGAACUCUCGGU